rnacentral:rRNA from 1 species
AUACGGAGGAUCCGAGCGUUAUCCGGAUUUAUUGGGUUUAAAGGGAGCGUAGGCGGACGCUUAAGUCAGUUGUGAAAGUUUGCGGCUCAACCGUAAAAUUGCAGUUGGUACUGGGUGUCUUGAGUACAGUAGAGGCAGGCGGGAUUUGUGGGGUGGGGGUGGAAUGCUUAGAUAUCACGAAGAACUCCGAUUGCGAAGGCAGCCUGCUGGACUGUAACUGACGCUGAUGCUCGAAAGUGUGGGUAUCAAACAGGAUUAGAUACCCUGGUAGUCCACACAGUAAACGAUGAAUACUCGCUGUUUGCGAUAUACAGUAAGCGGCCAAGCGAAAGCGUUAAGUAUUCCACCUGGGGAGUACGCCGGCAACGGUGAAACUCAAAUGAAUUGACGGGG